rnacentral:lncRNA from 1 species
CGAGGAUAAGGAGAACAAGUCCCUGGGGCUGUCCCCAGGGCUGGUUGGGGCGCGCGGCUGGGAGGCGCCCUGCCACCGCCAGGAUGCGCUCGGUGUAGCGGGACUGCCGGGGGGCGCCUGAAGGCCAGCGCUCCAAGGACACGCGGCCACCCGCUCCUCACGGGCUCCCGGGCCCAGACGCCCCGCAGCGCCGGAGCCGAGCCGCGGGGAGUGCGGGCGAAGGGUGGCAGGAGGGAGGGCGCGCGCGAGGCGGCCCCUCCUCGGCGAGCCAUGCGUGCCACGGGCCGCUGAGGAGCCGCCGGGCGCCGCUGCCAAGUCUCCGCUCCGCUUUUGUCUUGCCCUCCAGUGAAUGGGAAGAUGGAGAUGGAUGUGGAGGGAGUUUCUCCGCGCCCGGAGCCCAUCCCCCGCUCCCAGGGGGCUGGCGGAGCCAGCCAGGCGCCGCCACAACCGCCCCAGCCCCAGCCGCAGCCCCAGCAGCAGCUGGCUCAGGAUGAAGUGCCCGGCGAGAGUGCGGGUGCUGAGGACAGCGACGAUCUGGAGGCGAGACCCAACGGCGAGAGGGGGGAGAGCAAGAUUGGACAGCCUUGCUUCCCGGAGCUCGAGGCUGGAGGUGGUCCUUCUCAGCGGGCACCCUCCUCUCCAGGAGGGCAGGGACCCAGUGCCUGGCGGCAGAUGAACCCUGGGAGUCCUUUGCAGCCCUGCUGUGUCAUUGUAGACCAGGGGAGACCUGCGCCUGACUGUGUGGAGUUCUUUAGGUAAUUGAAUUCGAGUAAGAAAUGGUUGAGAUGUCAUUCUCUGGUGCUGAUGUUUUCUCUGCUGAGAAAAUUGUACAGUAGGGGAAAUGGCACUGAAGAUGAUGCUUCGGCAGUAUCCAG